GGGGGCAACCCUGGUGGCGAGUGGCGAACGGGUGAGUAAUACAUCGGAACGUAUCCUUUAGUGGGGGAUAACGCAGCGAAAGUUGUGCUAAUACCGCAUAAGCUCUGAGGAGGAAAGCGGGGGACCGAAAGGCCUCGCGCUGAAGGAGCGGCCGAUGUCCGAUUAGCUAGUUGGUGAGGUAAAGGCUCACCAAGGCGACGAUCUGUAGCUGGUCUGAGAGGACGACCAGCCACACUGGAACUGAGACACGGUCCAGACUCCUACGGGAGGCAGCAGUGGGGAAUUUUGGACAAUGGGCGCAAGCCUGAUCCAGCAAUGCCGCGUGCAGGAUGAAGGCCUUCGGGUUGUAAACUGCUUUUGUACGGAACGAAACGGUCCUUUCUAAUACAAGGGGCUAAUGACGGUACCGUAAGAAUAAGCACCGGCUAAC
rnacentral:rRNA from 1 species